AAUUAUCUUUUAACUUUGGUCAAUGUUCACCUCUGUGUAACUUUUGGAGAUGCUUCCUAAAUCUCAAUUAUGAACAAUGAACAUUUACCUAGUGCCUAUACAAUAUUUGUGAGAACAUGCAGAGGUAGUUUUCCAUAUUGGCUUGAUUUUGCUACAGCUAUAACCUAGGUUAUUCGGACUCGAAUAUGAGUGUGAGAAAUAGGUACAUAUUCUGAUAUACAGAAAUAUAGAUCUAAAUUUAGAUAUGGGUAUCGAAAUUAUGAUGAAUAAUAAAUUUAUAUAAAUUUGAAAAAUUUUUAUUCUCAAAAUUAGCAAUCAAUUGUUGUUUAAUUGUUUUAAUUUAUAUAAAUAAAAUAUAUUACACUUAACUUUAAAUUAAUUUUAAUUUUUUAUUAUAAACUUUUUGAAAUGAAGCCUACUGUGAAUGGAUUGGGAGUUGUUUUACGUAAGAUCUUUGAAAUGGGUUUGAAUUGCUAAUGGGAGAUUUCUGAAAUUUGUGGAAAUUCUAAGAUUUAUCUGAAUGUGCUGAGGUUGUAUUUGUGAGAUUUAUUGACAAAAUGUUGAAAUAAAGACUAUUGUGAAUGGUUUAAGAGUUGUUUUUGUGAGAUAGUUAAAAUGGGUUUCUGAAUUUUAUUGAAAUGCUAAUGUGAGGUUUGUGUGAAAUUCUGUUUUGUUUCUGUUGUGUUUAUGAGUUAAUCAGGUUUGGGUAGUAUACUGCUAGUUCUCCUGUCAAUAGUCCCAAGGUUAGAAAUUAUUUAUAUGUUUUUUCUUUUAGUUAAAAAUAUAUUCUUUUUUAGUUAACCCCUUUUGUUUAUGCACAGAUUUAUGAUCUGAUUAUGAUGAACCAGUUAAACAAGAACACAAAACAGAGAGAAAAAAUGGGUGUUAUUUCAUCAUCACCAUCACUGCAGGAGAAAGAAGGAAGAAAGCCGAUCACAGAGCAAAGAGAAGAGAGAAGAGAGGAUUUGGGUUUAAUUGGGAGCGAAAGUGACAUCACAGAACUGAAGAAAAUGGGUCUUUGUUUAGUUCCUUUGUCUAUGGUUGUGAAUUAUUUUGGUUGAGUUUUAGAUUUUGUUUCUUUCUCUGUCUCUCCAUCCAUCCAUGGAUUUAUUGAUGGAACAUUGAAAAUGGCUUUCUGCAGAAAAAAAAAAUUGUAUAUAUAAUAAGAUUAAGAUCCAUCAUUUUCUGCAGCAGCA